UGCNGUCGAGCGAGAAACCACUUCGGUGGCGGAGAGCGGCGAACGGGUGAGUAACACGUAGGUUACGUGCCCUUUGGUGGGGGAUAGCCCAGGGAAACCUGGAUUAAUACCGCAUACGUCCUUCGGGAUGAAAGCCUUCGGGCGCCAGAGGAUCGGCCUGCGGCCCAUUAUUUAAUCCUGGAUGGUAAGGUAACGGCUUACCAUGGGGUACGAUGGGUAGCUGGUCUGAGAGGAUGAUCAGCCACACUGGGACUGAGACACGGGCCCAGACUCCUACGGGAGGCAGCAGUGGGGAAUAUUGGACAAUGGGCGAAAGCCUGAUCCAGUCAUGCCGCGUGUGUGAUGAAGGCCUUCGGGUUGUAAAGCACUGUCGGGAGGGAAGAAAGCUUCGGCUUGACGGUACCUCGCAAGAAAGCACCGGCUAACUCCGUGCCAGCAGCCGCGGUAAUACGGAGGGUGCAAGCGUUGCUCGGAAUUACUGGGCGUAAAGCGUACGCAGGCGGCCAAUUAAGUUGGAUGUGAAAGCCCUGGGCUCAACCCGGGAAUUGCAUUCAAAACUGGUUGGCUUGAGUGUGAGAGAGGGAAGUGGAAUUCCAGGUGUAGAGGUGAAAUUCGUUGAUAUCUGGAGGAACACCGGCGGCGAAGGCGGCUUCCUGGCUCACAACUGACGCUCAUGUACGAAAGCGUGGGUAGCAAACAGGAUUAGAUACCCUGGUAGUCCACGCCGUAAAACGAUGUUUGCUANGGUGUUGGUGGAAUUUACCCCAUCAGUGCCGCAGUUAACGCAUUAAGCAAACCGCCUGGGGAGUACGGUCGCNAAGAUUAAAACUCAAAUGA
rnacentral:rRNA from 1 species